UGUCUGUGCCGGGAAAAAACAAUGGUAUCUGAAAGCUUAUUUUAUUCAGUCCACUUAAAAAAAAUAGGGUCGGUACCAGAAUUCAAAGGUCGGUCGGGCAAUCGGAACCACAACAUUAAUAUAUUAAGCGCACAACUUGGAUAACU